rnacentral:rRNA from 1 species
GAGAUGAUCAGGUAGAUAGGAUGGAAGUGGAAGUGCAGUGAUGCAUGGAGCGGACCAUUACUAAUCGGUCGAGGACUUAACCAAA